rnacentral:rRNA from 1 species
UAAUACGGAGGGUGCAAGCGUUAUCCGGAUUUAUUGGGUUUAAAGGGUCCGCAGGCGGGAUUCUAAGUCAGUGGUGAAAGCCUACAGCUUAACUGUAGAACUGCCAUUGAAACUGGAAUUCUUGAGUGUGGUUGAAGUAGACGGAAUAUGUCAUGUAGCGGUGAAAUGCAUAGAUAUGACAUAGAACACCAAUUGCGUAGGCAGUUUACUAAACCAUUACUGACGCUCAUGGACGAAAGUGUGGGGAGCAAACAGGAUUAGAUACCCUGGUAGUCCACACCGUAAACUAUGAUCACUAGAUGUUGGCGAUAUACAGUCAGUGUCUUAGAGAAAUCGUUAAGUGAUCCACCUGGGGAGUACGUUCGCAAGAAUG